UGGGGAUGACGUCAAAUCAUCAUGCCCCUUAUGAUUUGGGCUACACACGUGCUACAAUGGACAAUACAAAGGGCAGCGAAACCGCGAGGUCAAGCAAAUCCCAUAAAGUUGUUCUCAGUUCGGAUUGUAGUCUGCAACUCGACUACAUGAAGCUGGAAUCGCUAGUAAUCGUAGAUCAGCAUGCUACGGUGAAUACGUUCCCGGGUCUUGUACACACCGCCCGUCACACCACGAGAGUUUGUAACACCCGAAGCCGGUGGAGUAACCAUUUGGAGCUAGCCGUCGAAGGUGGGACAAAUGAUUGGGGUGAAGUCGUAACAAGGUAGCCGUAUCGGAAGGUGCGGCUGGAUCACCUCCUUU
rnacentral:rRNA from 1 species